UACGUAGGGUGCAAGCGUUAAUCGGAAUUACUGGGCGUAAAGCGUGCGCAGGCGGUUUUGUAAGACUGUCGUGAAAUCCCCGGGCUUAACCUGGGAAUGGCAUUUGGGACUGCAAGGCUGGAGUGCGGCAGAGGAGACUGGAAUUCCUGGUGUAGCAGUGAAAUGCGUAGAUAUCAGAAGGAACAUCAGUGGCGAAGGCGGCUCUCUGGUACGUGACUGACGCUGAGACGCGAAAGCGUGGGGAGCAAACAGG
rnacentral:rRNA from 1 species